GCCUGUCAUCAUAAUUAAUGACCGUCAUAUUUCUUUUCAUUUCUUCAAUAAUGUACGCAUGCACUAUUUGUCUUACACUUAUCUUCAAAUCCAUAUAUACAUGUUACAUAAAUUUGCAAUAGCAUUUAAUUUGUCUGAAAUUGGCUCUACUUUUGACAAUAUCAUUCUUGCUUAUUUAACAAGACAGCCAAAAUGUACUGGCUGUGUUAUGAAGACAACGAAUUACUGGGACCAGCAAACACAUGAUGACAGGCCUCAACAAACAGUACAUACAAGUGAGUAUAGAGAAAUAUUAUUUAUUCAACAAAUUUUACAAUUGGAAGGGAGAAAGAGAAAAAAAGAGAAAAAUAUAUGAAAUGUAAUAAAUGACUCUAGACAGAAAGUAUUAUUGUAUAAAUUGUUUAUGAAUAAUAUAACUCUUAAUUAAAAGAGUUUUACUUCUAAUUAUU